UUGGAGGGCAAGUCUGGUGCCAGCAGCCGCGGUAAUUCCAGCUCCAAUAGCGUAUAUUAAAGUUGUUGCAGUUAAAAAGCUCGUAGUUGAAUUUCGGGAUCAAUUUAUUGGUCGUGCCAACGGUACGCACUGGUACAAUUGGUUUCUCCCUUCUGACGAAGCAUGAUGUCAUUAAUUUGAUGUCGUGGGGAAUCAGGACUGUUACUUUGAAAAAAUUAGAGUGUUUAAAGCAGGCUUUGGCUUGAAUACAUUAGCAUGGAAUAAUGAAAUAGGACGUUUGAUCUUAUUUCGUUGGUUUCUAAGAUCGACGUAAUGAUUAAUAGGGAUAGUUGGGGGCAUUAGUAUUCAAUUGUCAGAGGUGAGAUUCUUGGAUUUAUUGAAGACUAACUACUGCGAAAGCAUUUGCUAAGGAUGUUUUCAUUAAUCAAGAACGAAAGUUAGGGGAUCGAAGACGAUCAGAUACCGUCGUAGUCUUAACCAUAAACUAUGCCGACUAGGGAUCGGAUGAUGUUAAUUUUUUAAUGACUCAUUCGGCGCCUUACGGGAAAC
rnacentral:rRNA from 1 species